rnacentral:misc_RNA from 1 species
GAUGAAGAACGUAGCGAAAUGCGAUAAGUAAUGUGAAUUGCAGAAUUCAGUGAAUCAUCGAAUCUUUGAACGCACAUUGCGCCCGCCAGUAUUCUGGCGGGCAUGCCUGUUCGAGCGUCAUUUCAACCAUCAAGCCCCAGGCUUGUGUUGGAGCCCUGCGGCUGCCGCAGCCUCCCAAAACCAGUGGCGGGCUCGCCAUCACACCGAGUGCAGUAGUUUACUCUUCGCUCAGGGCGUGUGGCGGGUGCUAGCCGUAAAACCCCCAACUUCUCAAGGUUGACCUCGGAUCAGGUAGGAAUACCCGCUGAACUUAAGCAUAUCAAUAAGCGGAGGA